rnacentral:rRNA from 1 species
UGAGGAACAUGACUUUCGGCGGGGGGAUAGCCGGCCCAACGGCCGGGUAAUACCGCGUACGACCUUUUGGGGACAUCCCCGAUUGGUGAAAGCAGCAAUGCGCCGAAAGAGUGCCUCGCGGCCUAUCAGCUAGUUGGUGGGGUAACGGCUCACCAAGGCGACGACGGGUAGCCGGCUUGAGAUGGCGAUCGGCCACACUGGGACUGAGACACGGUCCAGACUCCUACGGGAGGCAG